rnacentral:misc_RNA from 1 species
UCCGGUCAAAAACCGGCAGUCUCAGCAGACACAUAUAACUGCUGAUGAGGGUUGCGCUCGUUGCGGGACUUAACCCAACAUCUCACGACACGAGCUGACGACAACCAUGCAGCACCUGUGCAUCACCCUCGAAGGAGCCGACUUUCAUCGGGUUGCAGAUGCAUGUCAAACCUGGGUAAGGUUCUUCGCGUUGCGUCGAAUUAAACCACAUGCUCCACCGCUUGUGCGGGCCCCCGUCAAUUCCUUUGAGUUUCAGCCUUGCGGCCGUACUCCCCAGGCGGCGCGCUUACCGCGUUGGCUACGGCACCGAGGGAUUCGACUCCCCCAACACCUAGUGUUCAUCGUUUACGGCAUGGACUAC